AUUGAACGCUGGCGGAAUGCUUUACACAUGCAAGUCGAACGGUAGAGGGGGCAACCCCUCGAGAGUGGCGAACGGGUGAGUAAUAUAUCGGAACGUGCCCAGUCGUGGGGGACAACGUAGCGAAAGUUACGCUAAUACCGCAUACGAUCUAAGGAUGAAAGCGGGGGAUCGCAAGACCUCGCGCGAUUGGAGCGGCCGAUAUCAGAUUAGGUAGUUGGUGGGGUAAAGGCUCACCAAGCCAACGAUCUGUAGCUGGUCUGAGAGGACGACCAGCCACACUGGAACUGAGACACGGUCCAGACUCCUACGGGAGGCAGCAGUGGGGAAUUUUGGACAAUGGACGCAAGUCUGAUCCAGCCAUUCCGCGUGCAGGAUGAAGGCCCUCGGGCUGUAAACUGCUUUUGUACGGAACGAAAAGGUCUCUCUUAAUACGGGGGGCUCAUGACGGUACCGUAAGAAUAAGCACCGGCUAACUACGUGCCAGCAGCCGCGGUAA
rnacentral:rRNA from 1 species